AGAGUUUGAUCCUGGCUCAGGAUGAACGCUGGCGGCAUGCCUAAUACAUGCAAGUCGAACGAAGUCUCCAGGAAGCUUGCUUCCAAAGAGACUUAGUGGCGAACGGGUGAGUAACACGUAGGUAACCUGCCCAUGUGUCCGGGAUAACUGCUGGAAACGGUAGCUAAAACCGGAUAGGUAUACAGAGCGCAUGCUCAGUAUAUUAAAGCGCCCAUCAAGGCGUGAACAUGGAUGGACCUGCGGCGCAUUAGCUAGUUGGUGAGGUAACGGCCCACCAAGGCGAUGAUGCGUAGCCGGCCUGAGAGGGUAAACGGCCACAUUGGGACUGAGACACGGCCCAAACUCCUACGGGAGGCAGCAGUAGGGAAUUUUCGUCAAUGGGGGAAACCCUGAACGAGCAAUGCCGCGUGAGUGAAGAAGGUCUUCGGAUCGUAAAGCUCUGUUGUAAGUGAAGAACGGCUCAUAGAGGAAAUGCUAUGGGAGUGACGGUAGCUUACCAGAAAGCCACGGCUAACUACGUGCCAGCAGCCGCGGU
rnacentral:rRNA from 1 species